GACGAACGCUGGCGGCGUGCUUAACACAUGCAAGUCGAACGGGAAACUUUAUUUCGGUAAAGGAUCUAGUGGCAAACGGGUGAGUAACGCGUAGGCAACCUGCCCUUAGGAUGGGGACAACGGCCCGAAAGGACCGCUAAUACCGAAUGCACCCUAACUUCCGCAUGGAAGAAAGAGGAAAGAUGGUGCAAGCCAUCGCCGAAGGAAGGGCCUGCGUCUGAUUAGCCAGUUGGUGAGGUAACGGCUCACCAAAGCGACGAUCAGUAGCCGGUCUGAGAGGAUGAACGGCCACAAUGGGACUGAGACACGGCCCAUACUCCUACGGGAGGCAGCAGUGGGGAAUCUUCCGCAAUGGGCGAAAGCCUGACGGAGCAACGCCGCGUGAGUGAAGAAGGUCUUCGGAUCGUAAAAGCUCUGUUUGUUUGGGGGACGAAAAGGGAAAAGGGAAGGAAAAUGCCCCUUUUAA
rnacentral:rRNA from 1 species